CCGCCUUCCAAUGAUACGAGACAUUCAGUGUACUGGACAAGAAAGUCACAUAAAUAAUUGCACAUACAGAACACCGCACUUCGGCGACAAAUGCAUCGAUGGCGCAGUAGCUCUUGUUUGUACAGACUGCGGUCAAGUAAACGUUUCAAAUGGGCAAAUAACGACAUACAAUGACACGUCGAGAACGUUAACAAUUCGAUGUCAUACUGAUGACCCAGCCUAUGUUCAAUACAUAUGUGGAAACAACGGACUAUGGAAUAAAACUGCCGAAUGUAUGCCAGUAAAUAUCCAAGACAUUCGCCUAAUGAACCAAGCAUUAUAUCUGUAUCAAGGCACAGUAGAGCUUAAAAUCAACGGCACAUGGGGGACCAUCUGUGACGGCAUGUUUGCGAAAGAAGAAGCAACCGUUUUAUGUAGAAUGCUAAAUGCUAGUUACUAUUCAUACACGACAAAUGGAGAGUACGGU